GACGAACGCUGGCGGCGUGCUUAACACAUGCAAGUCGAGCGGAAAGGCUCCCUUCGGGGGGUACUCGAGCGGCGAACGGGUGAGUAACACGUGAGUAAUCUGCCCUCUACUCUGGGAUAACUGCCUGAAAGGGUGGCUAAUACUGGAUGUGCAUCAGCUGCUGCAUGGUGGUUGGUGGAAAGCGUUUAGUGGUGGGGGAUGUGCUCGCGGCCUAUCAGCUUGUUGGUGGGGUAAUGGCCUACCAAGGCUUUGACGGGUAGCCGGCCUGAGAGGGUGACCGGCCACACUGGGACUGAGACACGGCCCAGACUCCUACGGGAGGCAGCAGUGGGGAAUAUUGGACAAUGGGCGGAAGCCUGAUCCAGCAACGCCGCGUGAGGGAUGACGGCCUUCGGGUUGUAAACCUCUUUCAGCACAGACGAAGCUGACUCCACGUGUGGGGUGGGUGACGGUAUGUGCAGAAGAAGCACCGGCCAACUACGUGCCAGCAGCCGCCGUAAGAC
rnacentral:rRNA from 1 species